AGUGAACGCUGGCGGUAGGCCUAACUCAUGUAAGUCUAACGGCCGCUCUGUCCGAGCUUGCUCUUCCGGCUGGCGAGUGCCGGCCGGGUGCGGAAUACAUCGGAAUCUACUUUUUCGUGGGGUAUUCCGAAGGGAAACUUACGCUAAUACCGCAUACGACCUACGGGUGAAAGCAGGGGCUCUUCGGACCUUGCGCGAUUGAAUGAGCCGAUGUCGGAUUAGCUAGUUUGCGGGGUAACGGCCCACCAAGGCGACGAUCCGUCGCUGGUCUGAGAGGAUGAUCAGCCACACUGGAAGUAAGACACGCUCCAGACUACUACGGGAGGCAGCAGUGGGGAAUAGUGGACAAUGGGCGCAAGCCGGAUCCAGCCAUACCGAGUAGGGGAAGAAGGCCUUCGGGUGGUAAAGCCCUUUUGUUGGGAAAGAAAAGCAGCAGGUUAAUACCCCGCUGUUCUGACGGUACCCAAAGAAUAAGCACCGGCUGACUUCGUG
rnacentral:rRNA from 1 species